rnacentral:lncRNA from 1 species
CCACUCUGGCUCUCCAGUUCUACGUUCUGCUAAGACCCAGCUCUUCACUCUACUGCAGCCAGCCGCUCUUGAUUAACUUGGUUGGUAAUAUCAUCUUUACUUUCUUCACAAUUGGUAAGUGUGCAGUUAGGCUGUAAAAAGGCUCAUUAAGUGUCUGCUAUCUGCCAGGCA